UUGCCAGCCUAGGCUUAAGGCUAAGGAUAUUUUCUAACGGCCUUCGGGAUUUCUACAUGAACGUUUGGAAAACCUAAUUGAAUGCCUGUAAUAUAAUAGUUAACAUGAAAUCCGAUUGCUUCUGAUGUGCCUAGGGAAAUUCUUUAGGCUAUAUGAAGGGUUUUGUGUCAGAAACCUGAAGCCAGAUCCUAGCUGGUGGCUUUGAAACACUUGGAACCUAUCUCCAUUCCUCUGUGACUCCUGAUGAAUUGAGGGAUCAUUCUCUACCAGGGACCCACAGUGGCCACACCAGGCUGAGACUCAGGCAGCCCACCAUCCUGUCCGUCAUUCCGGUCUCUCCAGACUUAAGUCUUAUUGUGGCUUAGCAAUGAAGAGCUAAUGAAGGCUGACCACUUUCACACAUGAAGUGAUGCCCAGUGAUGUGUGACGCAUUCUGGAAAGGGCAACGGCAGCAGGAAGACAAUUACACCCAAUUUGGGAGAAGCAACUUUCCAAAUACUGAGUACUUCUCAUAUGUCUCUGAGUUGAGAGGUUUAAAUUUCCAUUAACCUAGAAGAGGUCUGAGCUGAGGAUGGACGAUCUUUGGCUUGGUUUUCGGGUAACUUGACAGGGUCUGCGACUUUGGCUCUCUAUA
rnacentral:lncRNA from 1 species